UGAUUCCCUGGAAUACCACUAGGCAAUUCCAAUUUGUGCUGCAGUAGCAGCUACUGGCCUCAUUUGGGAUGGGGCACCACUGUAUUCAGUGAAUUACUAAAUACAUUGUAUCUGCUGCCCCAAAGUGCUUGCACAUUAAAGCUCUGAUCCUGCAAUGAGCUUUGUGCAGGUGACCCUAUGUACCCGGGCCUGAUUCCAUUAGCCUGUGUGGGAGCAGGGAUCCAGCCAUGCAGAACGCCGGGGGGCCUAAUCUCAGUCAAGACACAGCAAGUGAGUGUAGCAGCAACAGGAGGGACUAGAGGAGGGAGGAUGAGAGUCAGCUGACUAGUAAAAGAACCCUAUUUGUGAAGAGUGUUUGGUUUGCUGGGGUUCGUGCAUCAAAUUGUUGGUGAUUGGUGAAUACUGAGGCAGCCAUUGAUUGGUCAAGUGUGAAUGUUUGCAAAUCCCCAACAUUUCAUAGAUUUAAUUCCCAAUUGGUAUUCCUGAGAAUUCCCAGCAGCAGGCGCAUCAUUUGCUCUUAGUUAUACUUCGGCUUAAAAAAUUUCAGCCAACCAAUCAGGGAGCAUAAAAAAAUUGCAUAUGGCGUAGGUGGCCAAGCAUGGUAUACAAAUAACAAAAAGCCAGAAGGAAGAGUUUGCAAACAACCCACUGUUUGCAAAUUAUCCGCCCAAACUAUUUGCUCAGUGCUCCUGAGUAAUAAAUUCAGCUGCAGAAAUUUGGACUGGUUGGCAGGUGAUUUGCUAGUGCAAAGGAACUACCUUUGUAAAGCGCUUGAAGAUCUUUGAAGGACACGUAUGGAAAGCACUUUAGCCGUAAUGCAUGCCCCGCUGCAGCCCUGGGAUGGACGGAAAUACCACCAUGGCUCCUUUUACGGAUGGACAAACAAAAGCAGAGGAAGCACUCAACUGAGCAUGCCUUGCCCCAGAUACUACAAAUGGAUGCCCGGGGGACUACAUUUCCCAGCCUGCCUUGCUUUGUGGUUGAGAGAGAGAGAUUGAGAAUGGCUGGAGUUAUCCUGAGCCACCAUGGUCCCGCCACCAUUGAGGGGAGUUCCAGGCAACCCCUGCUUAUGGAGCUGCAGCCUCAGGCAGCCUUAAGCCACAACUGCUUCACAGAGAUGGAGGCCUCCCACUCAGUGACCAGCCACCUUCCCUAUUCCAGGAACAUUUUUACAGGCAACCCUGGACCAGGUGAGUGGGUUCUAGAGGGUUUCUCUUACAAGCUGCAGAGGAUCUGUACACUUCAUUAUAGCGGAGUUAAGAUAAAAAUUGUAGCGAGAACUUCUUCUAAUGUCUGGUCUCAUCAGCCAUAGAGCUGUCUGACCCACAGAACAACGGGCCCCCUUUCUGGUGAAAUUUGCCCAAAAAAUAAAUCCUGCUUUUUGACCAGCGGUGGUUGGCCAGAAGCAGAAGCAUUGACAUGGGGGCUGUGUUCAAAUCUAUCCUCCGCUAUUGUGCUUCACACCAGCUAAGGAUAUGCCCCCUAGGACUUCUGGCAAGUCCCAGCCUGAGAAGAAACAGUCCUCUCUCCACUGCUUCCAUUCCUAUGGGAUCAUUAGCCUGAUCUGAAAUCCAUAGAGGUUGGACACUACUCCGAACCAAACCUUCAAACCAGCCUUUCUGAGGUUCACCCACUACUGAAAAUCCACCAGAAGGAGUCAGGUCUGCAUCAAGCAGGAUGCUUUAGAAGUUGCUUGGAGGUUAAAGUUUAACUCCUAGUUCUAAAUAUCAAACCAGAAUCUGAAUUCCAGUUUCACUGCUGGCUUCUUUCUGUGAACUUUGCCAAAACAACCCCCCUCCCCCACAGCAGGAUCUGAACACCCCAUCAGGUUGGUGAGAAAUUCAACAUCUACCUCUGGAUCUGAAUUAUGCAGUCCAAGCCCAGAUCUAAAGGGAAUAUUGCAAUGACCAGUGCAGACAACACUGCUGCCAAUAAGUGGUGCUGUAUCUUUAUCUGAAUAGUAAGUUGUCUUGUUGUUGGGGGCGAUUGGGUGGAGGGCUGGGGAGAAGCAGAAGUUAAGUCCUGCCUGUGUGUGCUGGAGUUGUCACUUGCAGCAUUCCAACAAAUCCUUUUUUCUGUAAGCGAGGAUUACUGUGACUGAAGUGGAAGAAAUAUUGCUGAACUCAAUGUGAAAAGUUCCCAAGCUAGUCUUUGUAUCCGUGUGUUUAUUAGCCUGAUUUUAAAGCUCAUCUGAGUGAGUGCAGCCUUUAUCAUCCCUGGGGUUUUACCCUUCCAUUCAUGGUAAAGUAUUUUCAUAUCAAACCUGAACUUUUAACCCUUUUGGGCAGGUCAGUGAGGCCAGGAACAAGAGGUCAAACUUUGUCCUGUGGUUGCUGAGAGCGGUUCGCAAACGUUACCAUCUUUAAAAUGAAGGUUUAGAAAUACCUCACUAUUUUAAAAGGUUAAAAGUUGGAAGCUUGUUAAGGAAACUCUGCAUUGUCUUGGGCACAGUCUGAAUUUCAAUCUGCCUUCAGAUUUUAAAAAAGCAGUUCAGACAGAACAAGAGAUGCUUGUUUCCCCCCAUUUCCAAACCUGCAUGCUAAGUUAUGCUCUGCACCAGGCUAAAAUGAAUAUGUAUAUUUCAGUGACUUAAAGAGAAGGUAAUCAAUUUGCUGAUCUGAAAGCAGUGGGCACUGAGCUUUUCCAAAACGCGCUCUUUCAAGUCAAAUCAAUUAUUAGAAACAAGGGCUGUUAUGAGGUCAGGGCUUCCUGAAAACCCAGCACAUUUCUGAAUAGAUCACAGCCUUUAUGGUACCUUGUUCAACUAGUAAAAUAUCGAUCGGCAAAGUACUGUGAAGGUUAUUACAAAAGUUAGCUUUCAACAAGGAGCAAAAUCCUGAACUCCUUCCACAGGAGUAAGGACAGGGUAAAGCCUCAGGAACUGGCCCUGGAGUUGUAAUAUUUGUACUUGAUUUCAGUGUAUGUACAAGUGAGGGAUCACUAGAGCUGGUGUAGCAUGGACAAGUGUGCCAUUUUCCGACUGCAUAUCUAUUGGACCUGCUCCUUGUUGCCUGGUCCUAGGUUUCUCUUGAACAGAGGCUGAGUAUCCUGCGAGUCUGUGCAGUGGUUGUGGACAAACAACCCAGCUGAAAGGCUGGUUGCAUUUUUUUUUUUUUUAAAUUUUGACAGGGGAAAAGGAGAAAAAAGGGGGGGAAAUUUGGAGAACAUUUUCAGGAUGCAUCUUUCACGUGUUUUGACCAGCUCUAUGCAAGGAACUAGGAUAAGAUUUACAAACCCAUUCUGCUUCUAAUCUAAAGGGAAUGUGAAACCACAGUGGUUGCCAUUAAAAAGUCAAUGUUUACCAAGUUGCCACAUAGCAGCAGCUGAGAUACUGCCAUAUCCUCCAUCCAGUCCUUAAAAUAGGAAGUCACUAUUAUGUUGUAGAUGCUACUGUGUGGGAACAGGGGAGAAAUGCUAAUUUUUAGCACCUUUAAAUUGGGAUUUCAAUGCCUUUGAGUGGUGCCUCACUACAGCUCUGUAAGGAAGCGUAGCAGGGCAUGGCAGGGCCCCCUUGCUUCUGCAUCUUCUAGGUCCACAAAGUCACUCUGAGACCCUCAGGCUAGUACCCAGUGGUGCAGUUUAUUCACAGGCUUGUUCCC